CACUCAAGUAAACAUCCAUAUUAAAAAGCUAUUAGAGGAAGCAGGGUUUUCAAAAUUUGAUCUGUAACAGAGUGGGAGAAAACAAAUGAAGGUUUCUUUCAUGUCACUGCCCGAGGAGAGUUUACUGUUGUCUAUAGAUUUUUGUUUUUCUACAAACAAAUUGUGGCAAACAAAGGGGAAGGAAAUCUUCUCCAGGUGGCGCUCUAGCAACAGACCAGCAUUUGGACAACGUGGUGAAGACGUCAUUUAUGAUUAGGUAGAAUGACCUUAUCAUCUUCCAACAAACUCAAGAAAUGCUUGCUUUGAUGAGAUGAAGUUGAAGAUUUCGAGAAAGAAUGAAAGCUGUAGCAGAAAACAUAGGGCUGGGAUCUCUCCAAGGUGAUUGUGGAGAGGUUUGCCAAUUGACCUUAGUGAAAUCAAAAAAGGGAAGU